AUCGAUGGUAUUUGCAUUGAUGGGUCAAAUAAAUGGGAAUUGGUCACCUUUGAAGAUAGAAAGAUACCUGAUCCUGGUCAUGCAUUGGCUAAGGUUAUGCUCUUCGAUUGCUUCUUCGUUAGAGUGAAUAAUUCCCUCUGUGAAUUCUACACUUGCUACUAAAGCUUGAAAACGGCGAGCAUAGUUUUAUAGUGCGAAAUUUAUAUAAUCAGAUCUUUCACUUGGUGCAGGUAUGCAAUUUGGAAUUGAAGAUACCCCAGCUGGUGACUGGGCAGGACCUUAACCUAUUAUUUAAGAAUGAAUGAACGAGUCAUGUGGACCCUCACACACAUUGGGAAAUGCUUGGAUGCAUGCUUCAAUGUACAGGAUGUGCAGACCACAAACCACUCCUGGAUUGAAGAAUGUUGUGGUCAAUGUUUGAGAUCGGCCAGAAGCAAGAAUUUAUACUGCAAGAAAUAAUUUAUCUAUCGGCUCUGUGAUUACUUUAUUUUGCCAAUUAUUCCUAAUGUUCCUACAUUUUUUUUUACAUUUGC